rnacentral:rRNA from 1 species
GCACAAGCGGUGGAGCAUGUGGUUUAAUUCGAAGAUACGCGAAAAACCUUACCAGGUCUUGACAUACCAAUGAUCGCUUUUGUAAUGAAAGCUUUUCUUCGGAACAUUGGAUACAGGUGGUGCAUGGUCGUCGUCAGCUCGUGUCGUGAGAUGUUGGGUUAAGUCCCGCAACGAGCGCAACCCUUGUUAUUAGUUGCCAGCAUUUAGUUGGGCACUCUAAUGAGACUGCCGGUGAUAAACCGGAGGAAGGUGGGGACGACGUCAGAUCAUCAUGCCCCUUAUGACCUGGGCAACACACGUGCUACAAUGGGAAGUACAACGAGUCGCAAACCGGCGACGGUAAGCUAAUCUCUUAAAACUUCUCUCAGUUCGGACUGGAGUCUGCAACUCGACUCCACGAAGGCGGAAUCGCUAGUAAUCGCGAAUCAGCAUGUCGCGGUGAAUACGUUCCCGGGUCUUGUACACACCGCCCGUCAAAUCAUGGGAGUCGGAAGUACCCAAAGUCGCUUGGCUAACUUUUAGAGGCCGGUGCCUAAGGUAAAAUCGAUGACUGGGAUUAAGUCGUAACAAGGUAGCCGUAGGAGAACCUGCGGCUGGAUCACCUCCUUUCUAAGGA